UCUUUUGGGGUGUCUUGCAGACUAAAGCAUAGGUGGGAGGAUAUUUGUGCAUUUCGAGUGUUUCCUUACAAGUGCCAUACAACAUUGCAACUAUUUGAACUUGGUGAUGAUUACAUUCAAGAACAGAUAAGAAAACCUCCAGCUCAGACAAUUUGCUCUUCUGAGACAGGAUGGUUUUCAUAUAACAUGCUUGAAAACUUGAAAGAUUGUGUUAAAGUGAGGUUCCUAUCUGUAUUCCCAGAACCUGGUGCGGAGCCCUUGCUAAAAGCUGCUACUGAAAGCUUCAAAAAGUCCAAGAAGUUGUGUAGUAAUGACAAA